GGAACGAUGAGGAUCCUAAUAGGGUAAGACAUCAGGCCUCCUUCCUGAGCCCCUCUUUGGCAUCUUGUCUGGUCUGCUGGGUCGUUUCUUCCUGGUCCAGCUUCCCUUUGCUCCUCCCAGAGCCUCGCCCCUGAAGGCUCCACAGAGUAGUAAUGAAUGAGUUGGCGGUACAUGCCGGAAUCUUUAUUUCUGUAACACCCUGUCUCCCUGGCCACCCCACAUUCUCCCAGGAGAUUUAUCUUCUUCAAGUUCCCACACAUCAGGCCUCUGGGGGAUAUGUAGGUCUGGGAAACCAGAAUUCACCAUCAUCAAUGGUGGGGAGGAGGCUGUUGCCAUGAGACUUCAGGCCUAUCCAUCCCCUCCACUCCAGUCCCUCCCAGGCGCCUUAGCCAUCUGUGCCCUUGGGCUUCUGGAAAACAGACAGCUCAGCUCCCUCCACCCUUGCCUUCCUCUGUCCAUGCUUGAGCUUCUGAUCUCUACUCCAGGGCACUUGCUGAAUAGAGCCUUGUUCUCUGCCGCCAGUGAGGGAGCCAUACGGCAAGGGCAGCCCCAAGGGGACUGGGCUGCUUUUAUCCCAAGAUGCCAGGAUGUCAGCCCCGGGUGCUGUACAAGCUCCCAGCUCAAUGGACUUCUCGGAAAGCAUCGAAGGGGGCCUGGAGUACAGCGGGAAGCAGGCUGUGUGCCCACCCCUGAUCAUUGUGUCUAUGCCAAGGGCAAAACCUCAAUGCCUCCCGGGACAAUCCCACUUCUGGUCUCAACUCAUAUACACAGUGCCUGCUGUUUCCUACCGAUGCCAGACUCUAAUUCCAGUGGCCAUGCAAUUCCAGUGUCACCUGCAGGCUUUGCUUGCACACCUGCCCCUGCCCAGCAGAGAUCAAGACUGGCUGGCUGACCCCAUCCCAUGGUGCUGCCCAGUGGAAGGGAAGUGAACCCCAGGACCACUAGAUGGCAGUGCUCAGCUGCCCAGGCAGACUCACCUCUGCUGUGACGGUGCCCUCUUGAGAAGAAAGCAAUACUUUGGCUCCUCUGUGGCUGUGAAGUCUUGGAUGACCCAGGAACCGUCACCGAAUCCAGAUCUGUGAAAUGAGGACUUACCUUCCAAGAACAUUAUCAGUGAGAGACAGCCACAUCAGGCACUGUUGUCAUCUCAUAAUGCCUGGGAGUAUGUGAGAACCUUCUAAGGGAGGUCACGCGGCAGUGUGGCUAGGACCAAGGAACCGCACAACAUUCAUCCCCAACUGUUCUGGUCACCUCUUCACAGAACUAUGGAAAGCCAGGCAUGGUGGCACUCUGUGAGUUCCAGGGUAGCCUGGUCUACGUAGCGAGUUCCAGGACAGACAACACUACAUAGAGAGACCCUGUCUCAAACAAACAAAUAAACACAAAAGAACUAUGGAAGAGAAGACAGCCAUGACUUACAUGCUACCUGGAACCAGGAUCAUUCUCCAGGGAGAAUCUGGAGACAGUCUCAUCGUCCAUGCAAGUCAGAUGGAAGCUGCAUCUCAGCUGGCUGGCCCCCCGCAGCCCCCGCCAGCCCGACUGCCUAUGGCAUGCAGGACACCACACAGCAAGCUCUCGGGCCGACCUCCUGUGAUUGAGGGCAGGAGCCGCACGUGCCUUGCUCCAUCAGCCCAGAGUCUCUGUACAUUUUACGGGUCACCCGAGAGCACACUUUGUACCACGGAGCCGCAAAUGUUUGCGCAGUGAAUGGCUGGCUGCUGAACAUCCUUGUCAAGAGUGACCUCUUCCACUGUCCGGCUGCCCCACGCCUGGCAAAGUCUGCCUCAUGCAAGGACCCCGCUGUGCAUUGCAUGCCCUCCUGGCCCUCGUUACUGGCCGCCUUGCCCCGUGCCGACUGCCUCUGCCCUUGGAGGGCGAUAGUGAUGAUCAGAAGAGGUAAUAUAUGUGAAGACCCCGGGAAAUGGAGACGUUAUUCCAUCGGAAUCCAGCCAUCACUCAGCGAGGCCUCAAGUGAAAGUGCCGUGCCAACUGCCAGGGGAUACAGAUGUGAAUCUGUGACGACGUCGAGGGAGCCACGGAACACAGGGGAACAAACUCAUUAAGACUAAUUGGAGA